rnacentral:lncRNA from 1 species
CUGGCAUGCUUGUCGCCCAGGCGCUUCACCAGCGUGGCCAGCAUCUUGCGUUGGUUCUUCACUGCGUCCUCCAGGAACUGAUACUGGUGGUCCUUGUGUGCGUUGAGCUGGCAGUCACGGCAGGUGAGCGUGUCACACGUGUCACAGAAGAUCAUCAGCGGCUCCUGCUUGUGCACGGAGCAGUACACAGUGUGAUCCACCUCCUUCACGCUGGUGUUGGCUGCAGCCCGCACUGUGUGGUCCUUGGUGUACUUGACCCGCUGGUGGGCCUCCACACAGGUGUCACACAGUGGCUCUGAGCACUCCACGCAGAAGCUGGUAGCAGGAGCGUUGUCUUCACAGCUGGUGCAGCACUGAGUGGAGGCCAGGUUGUCACCAGCCAUCUUAGCUCCUUUGUCUUUGAGGAAGUAAUUCUCUACCACGUCCUGCAGCGGACACUGGUGCUUGCAGAUGGGGCAGUCCACCACUUGCCCGCCAGGCCCUGAGUCGGCUGUAGGCCCCGGGCUGGUCCGCAGGCACUGCCGACACACCGAAUGCAGGCAAGGCAACAACCGCGGUUCCCUCUCGGCCUGCAGCAGCACCCGGCAGCUCCCGCAGCGUUCCAGGAGAUCCACGAGGUCCGGGCGCUUCUCGGCCGGGCCCACCGCUUCCGCGGCCUCCUCCGCCGGAGCCGACAUGGCGGCCGCUGCUCCCCCUCAGC